CCUACGGGCGGCUGCAGCCGCGGUAAUCCGUAGGGUGCGAGCGUUAAUCGGAAUUACUGGGCGUAAAGCGUGCGCAGGCGGUUUGCUAAGACCGAUGUGUAAUCCCCGGGCUCAACCUGGGAACUGCAUUGGUGACUGGCAGGCUAGAGUAUGGCAGAGGGGGGUAGAAUUCCACGUGUAGCAGUGAAAUGCGUAGAGAUGUGGAGGAAUACCGAUGGCGAAGGCAGCCCCCUGGGCCAAUACUGACGCUCAUGCACGAAAGCGUGGGGAGCAAACAGGAUUAGAUACCCCAGUAGUC
rnacentral:rRNA from 1 species